AGAGUUUGAUCCUGGCUCAGAUUGAACGCUGGCGGCAGGCCUAACACAUGCAAGUCGAGCGGAUGAAAGGGGGCUUGCUCCUGGAUUCAGCGGCGGACGGGUGAGUAAUGCGCAGGAAUCUACCUAGUAGUGGGGGAUAACGUUUCGAAAGAAACGCUAAUACCGCAUACGUUCUGAGGAAGAAAGCAGGGGAUCGUAAGACCUUGCGCUAUUAGAUGAGCUUGCGUCCGAUUAGCUAGUUGGUGGGGUAAAGGCCUACCAAGGCGACGAUCGGUAACUGGUCUGAGAGGAUGAUCAGUCACACUGGAACUGAGACACGGUCCAGACUCCUACGGGAGGCAGCAGUGGGGAAUAUUGGACAAUGGGGGCAACCCUGAUCCAGCCAUGCCGCGUGUGUGAAGAAGGCCUUCGGGUUGUAAAGCACUUUAAGCGGGGAGGAAGCCCUGAUGGCUAAUAUCCAUCGGGAUUGACGUUACCCGCAGAAUAAGCACCGGCAAACUUCGUG
rnacentral:rRNA from 1 species